AUACUAGAUACAUAUCAGAAUAUUUUCUAAAUUUAAUGGUGUAGAGAUUAGCAUGACCCCUGUGCAAGGAUGACAUGAAAAUCCAUGAAACACUCCAUAUAUAA